UCCUACGGGCGGCUGCAGUGAGGAAUAUUGGUCAAUGGGCGCAAGCCUGAACCAGCCAUCCCGCGUGAAGGAAGAAGGCGCUAUGCGUUGUAAACUUCUUUUCCAGGGGAAUAAAAUUUUGUACGUGUACGGAAUUGAAGGUACCCUGGGAAUAAGCAUCGGCUAACUCCGUGCCAGCAGCCGCGGUAAUACGGAGGAUGCGAGCGUUAUCCGGAUUUAUUGGGUUUAAAGGGUGCGUAGGCGGACUAAUAAGUCAGUGGUGAAAACCUGCAGCUUAACUGUAGAACUGCCAUUGAUACUGUUGGUCUUGAGUGUGGUCAAGGUAGGCGGAAUGUGUAAUGUAGCGGUGAAAUGCUUAGAUAUUACACAGAACACCGAUUGCGAAGGCAGCUUACUGGGCCAUUACUGACGCUGAUGCACGAAAGCGUGGGGAUCGAACAGGAUUAGAUACCCUAGUAGUCC
rnacentral:rRNA from 1 species